rnacentral:lncRNA from 1 species
UAGUGCAUAUCUUUUCCUUCUUAAAUUUAACAUGCAAAACCAGAAACAUUUUAAAGAGAGGAUUCAGGUUUUCGGAACAUUGACUUGGUCGAGGAUUUGGAAUGGGUCUAUGAAGGUGACCUUUUAAACUCUUCCUCAUCUCCACAUUCUUAGUAGCUCUAAUAUCAGCACAAUAUCUAUGUAAGGAGUGUCCUCAAAUGAGUGGGUAAUACCAUGGAGUCUAGACAGCCAGACCUGGGUUCAAAUUCUGUCUAUGUCACUUCCUAAGUAUGGUGACCUUAGAAUUUUACUUCACCACUCUGAGCUUGUUUCCUUUCCUAUAAAAUGAGGAUAUGAUAUUACAAAGUUCAAAGGCUCACUCGGAUGAUUAAUUGAAAUAAGGAAAAUACAACUUAGUAUAGAACUUGGCAUAUAUUAAAAACUCAACAAGGAGUUCUCGUGUGGCUCAGUGGUCAACGAACCCGACUAGGAACCAUGAGGUUGGUGUUCUAUCCCUGGACUCGCUCAUGUGGUUAAGGAUGCAGUGUUGCUGUGAGCUGUGGUGUAGGUGGCAGACGCAGCUUGGAUCCAGCAUUGCUGUGGCUGUGGUGUAGGCUGGCAGCUACAGCUCCGAUUUGACCCCUAGCCUGGGAACCUCCAUAUGCCAUUGGUGUGGCCCUAAAAAGCAAAAAAAAAAAAAAAAAGAAAAAGAAAAAACCUCAACAAAGCUUAUCUGUGUUCCUCCUCUUCUUCUUCCCCCUUUCCCCUCCUCCUUUUCUCCUUACUUCUCAUCAUCUCCUAUUUUGGCAUCUUUCUCCAUCUUUCCCUCCUCUCCUUUCUUUUUCCUAUUUUUCUUCUAUUUCCCUCCCUCCUCCUCCUCUUCAUCAGAAUCAUCACAUUGUUUUCUCUUACCCAAGGGCAUCUUUAAAGAUAUGUAGCUGAUUUGUCCCAGAACAAGAUUUUACAAUUCUUUGUAAGCAUGCAACAGCAAUAAACAGUUUUUAUUCUUGAUGUAUUUGUCUGGACCAAGGCACUGGGAAAGCACACACAUCUGUUAAAAGGAAGAACAAGAAUGUUCUGGAAAUAGGAUUAAUUCCUUUUCUGUUUUUUAAUUUUGACUAUGGGAUAGUAAGUAUUCCAUUAAGCAGAUGUUGAUGACUAGAACUUUGAAAGGAAAUAAGCAGUUUAUAUAGUGAUCUUGAAUCUUGAAUAUAAUAAUAGUAUUAAACUCUUUUACUAUAUACUUUCUCCAACUCCUCUUUGAUUUUUCUAUGAAGGUGAUAUAUAACCUCAUAAUUAAUUUUCUGGCUUACUCUCCAAUCUUUAAGUACUUUUUCUUUUUCUUGUCUUAUUGCAUUGGCUGGGCCUGGCAGUACAAUAUUUAGUAGAGAGUAGGUAUCCUUAACUUUUUUCUUAAAUUAAUGGAAAUGCUUAAAAUUACCUGUAAGUGUGAUUUUUAAGUUUUUACUAAAGGAUCUUUUAGUUCCCCUUUAUCAUUUCUAGGGAUUAUUCUUUUUAAAUCUUGACUUUGCAUAUUGAAUUUUACCAUAUGCUUUUUCUAUAUUUAUUUAUUUCAGUGAUUAUACAGAUAUUUUUUGUUUUAGUUUAAAAUCAUAAUAAUUUUCUAAUUUUCAUUUCUGAGCUAAAGUCUACUUUUUUAUAAUUUCUUGUUUUCUCUAACCUGUUGAAAUUCUGUUCUUUUUGAUAUUUUGCUUAGUAUUUUGCUAUCUAUAUUCAUCAGUAAGAUUGCUAUGUAACUUUCCUUUUCUUCAACCUGAUAUUUUUGUGCCUGAUAUUAGUCAAAUAACCUCAUAUAAUGAUUUCAGUGAUAAAGAAACACUGAAUAAUCUUAGACCUCUUUAUAAAAAAUGUAUAUAUUUUCUGAGUGAUUUUACCUAGACUUUAAAAAAGUCAUAUAUGCUUAUUACUGAAAAUUAAAAAAAACAAAGUAAGGAUGCCCAAACAAUUAGAAAUAUCUAGUAUCAUCAUUCUGAAUUACUUCUUUCUGGACUGACUUUCCAGGAUAUUAUGUGUUUGGGAUUAUACUGUUCAUACAGUUUUACAGCCUUCUUUGUUAUUUGACAUUAUGUCAUAAGUACAUUUCUCAUAUUAUUAUAUGAUACCACAGUACAGAAGCAUUUUUUUCUUCUCUUAGCAAUAUUUAGAUGGUGCCUGGGGCAGAUGUGUUAUUUCCUUAAAAAAUAUACGUCACAAUGUGGGGCAUCUAUCAUGAGAAAGAGUGCCAUAAAAAAAGUUGAGAUUCUUUAUCAUUCCUCACAGACCUAUCACCCUGGUUCUUUAACGUAGGCUGGUGAAAGCAAGUCGGACUGAUUCAAAAACAGGUCACACAGGAGCAUGUUUCACCCCAGAAUGAGCUUCUUGACAGGCCAUGUAUGAGAAGUAACUAGAGUAUUCACAACUCAAAUAAGGAGGGGAUGAAAGUAUGAGAAAUAAAGUUGUUUUCUUCAUUUCUUUUGUAUUGGAUUGGGUUGCUACACAUACAGCUUGUCAAACAGUGCCUAUUCCAGGAGUGGAAUGUGAUGGAGGACCAGAGGAAGGGGAUGUAUAUUUUCAGGUUCGUUACCUGCCAUCAAAGGGGGCAGAAUCACUUGACACAGUUCGUGGCAAUCUGGCAUUAGGACCCGCAGUAGGAGACUGAUAGAGGCAUGAGAACCAGGACGAGCAGACCCACAGGUUGCUGGGGGCAGUGCCUGGGGUUUUUUCAGUCAGCACCAUCUGGUGGCUUAGUGCUGUGUUCAGAGCACUGACUUUGGAGCCAGAAAAACAUGUUUUUUUGUUUCGUUUUCUUUUACUUCAAUUUUUAAAAUCCUGGGAUUAGCUUUAUUUUUAAAUUGGAGUAUAGUUGAUUGACAGUGUUGAGUCAAUGUCUGCUGUACAGCUUAGUGACCAAGUCAUACAUACAAAUACAUUGUUUUUCUCAUCCCAUCUUCCGUCCUGUUCUACCCCCAAAGACUGGAUGUAGUUCCCUGUGGUGUACAGUAGGACCCCUCUUAUAUGUGGAAUCUAAAAUAGGGCACAAAUGAUCCUAUUUACAAAACAUAAACAGAUCACAGAUGGGGAGAGCCAACUUGUGGUUGUGGGGUGGAGUGGGGAAAGAGGGGGAGAAGUGGGAUGGACAGGGAAUUUGGGGUUGGUAGAUGCAAAUUAUUACAUUUGGAAUAAAUAAGACUUGGCUUUUAAUUUUUAACUCUUGUUCUUAUCUGCUGUGUCACCAGAGAUGGGUUAUUUAGCCUCUGUGACCCUUGUUUUGAGGGGUGCAUGUGUGUGGUAAUAAUACUCUUGUGUGUUACCGGAAAGACAAGCAAUUUUAUUUUGGGUAAAGGACCAGCAUGGGAUCUGCAACAUGGCAGUGGUGUGGCCAAUGUUAGCUUUUCUGUCCUCUUCCUUCUGAGAUCAUGGUUCAGUAUUUUCUCCUCAUGUUCUAGAAAUAUCUGGCCGUCGACUUACUUUUCUUAUAGCUGUAUUAGAGCUCUACCCAGGGGUCAUUAGUGAAAAACAAAAACACAGCAACGUGCUACCUGAUUCUUUCCUCCCAGAAAUAUUUAGUACCAAGAAUUAAGGUCCUGAUGGGAUCCAGGAGAAGUCGAUGGUCAAUGGCAGGUGCCACAGCUCUGGAGCUACAUCAAAUUGGGUUUGAACCCUGGCUGCGUGCUUGAGGAACUGUGCAAAUUUUGGGCAGGUUAGUCAUGGUCAAGGAGUGGCUUCAGGAAUGCCAUGCCCAAUGUCCUGAUCCCUCAACUGGUCAGUUAGCCUUGGGGAAGGAACUCUGUUAAUAGUAACAGGCUUUCUUCUCUCUCUUUUUUUUUCACAUCAUGGGUUGUUGUUUUUUUUUUUUUUUUUUUUCAGUGAAUUUUAUUACAUUUAUAGCUGUACAAUGAUCGUCACAACCCAAUUUUGUGAAAAAAUAAACAGUUGGUUCAACCCCCCCAAAAAAACAAUACAAUAAAAUAUUAAAAAUAAAAAACAUAGUAACAGGCUUACCAUGUCAGAGCUCAUAAAUUGCUAUCAUAUUUAUUAUCCCCCCUGGGGUUCUUAGGAUCUUGGGAGAUGCAUUUUAAAAAAAUUGUUUUCUCAGGCCUUUGGUGCAGAGAGCGCUGCUUUUUCAUCACGUUUAUCUGCUCCUCUUGUCCUGCAAGGGAGGUUGACUUGGGGUCAUCCAGGCCUUGAAUUUGGGUUCAUACCCUGGGUCCCCCACUCUGCAUCUUUUCAACCGCAGGCAAGUUUCUCCACGUUUUGAGCUUCAAUUUCCUCAAACUCCCAGUGGACCGCAGAACUUAGAUGUAUGCUCAGCCAAAUUUGAAAUAUAAAAGAGGCAUUAUUAAUUAAUUAUCAUGUCCGCAAAUGUUGAUGCAGUCCCAGUCGUGAGCCCCGCAGGAGCUGUGUAUAUUGGGGUGAGCUGGGGGAGGGGAAGGAAGUUCUGACUCCAGUCACUUCACAUUCUCCAAGACCUUCCUGAGGGGAAGGGCUUCCGAUUCGUGUAGGUCUCUAUCCUUACC